rnacentral:tRNA from 1 species
AAGGCUUUAAGUUAAAUUAAACUAAUAGCCUUCAAAGCUAUUUAUAAAGGCAAAAAUUCUUUAAGCCUUG